AGCGAUGUGGUGUAACGGCAACAUGCCAGGCUCAUAACCUGAGGUUCGCGGUUCGACUCCGUGUCUCGCUA
rnacentral:tRNA from 1 species